CCCUUCCCUUAGAACCGUACUUGAGAGUUUCCGACCUCAUACGGCUCAGCGGUCAAAUUCUUUUGGUGUCCUAUUUUUUCAUUACCCUAUACUAAUUAAAUGAGAUUUCUCAGAGAUAUAUCCCAUUUUUUUUUUUUCUCUAGUUAACCAAAAGAAAGAGGUUAAUUACAUCAGUUUCAAACUAAAAUUUUUAUUAAUAAUCAGUUUUAUCUUUUCUCCCACCUUCAGAAAAAUAAAGCAUAAGCGUUUUCACUAUUAUUCGAAUUUUCUGAAAGGUAACUAUCUCGGUUUCAUAUAUAAAUUUAUAUAGAAUCUUUGAAAAAGGCCUUCCUUCAUAAGAAGGAAAAGACUUACCAUCUUUGGGAUCUGAUGCUACACCGCUGCUCAAUACCUUAGGGGAUCGACUCUAUUACAUAAGUGGAUUCCUAACUUUUAUCUCAUAUCAUGACAUAAGUAAGCAGUUCUUAUUGUAUCGGACCAAAACCUCGCGAAUUGAUCUUUACGGCGCUUCCUCUAUCAAUUAGAUCCUUUAUCCAUAGAAUAAAAGUAAAGUAUCUAGGCAUACCUAUUUCUUCAUAUUCAUAUUUCGACUUUUAUGAAGUUUAUUUCUUUGCUACAGCUGAUAAAAAUCGUUGUUUUGAACGAUACAUAUGUAGAAAGCCUACUCUUUGUUUCUAGUAUUUAUUAACGUUAACGGAUUUUUUCUUUCUUUCCUUUUUUUAUUUCUAUAGUGGAGAUAGUCGCACGUAAUGACAGAUCACGGCCAUAUUAUUAAAAGCUUGUGGUAAGAAUGGGUUUCGCUCUAGGGCCCGAAAAUAAUAUUCCAAAGCUUUCGUAUGUUCCCCGUUACUUGUGUGGAUAAGGCCUAUGUUAUAGAGUAUAUAACUUCGAUCAUAAGGAUCAAUUUCUAGUCGCAUAGCUUCAUAAUAAUUCUGUAAAGCUUCCGCAUAAUUUCCUUCGGAUUGAGCCGACAUCCGUUACGGUCGCCAUUCGAUUCAAAGAAUCUCCGUUUCAGAACCGUACAUGAGAUUUUCAUCUCAUACGGCUCCUCCUUUAUGUGCAUAAUGAUAAUAAUACAUGGAAUCAAAAAGACUGAAAUAUUCUCAUUAUAAACUAAGCGGGGCUGGUGUUUUUACAAGAAAUCUCUAGCCAACCUUCUUGUAGAAGAUCUUUCCUUAACAUCAAGCAUGUUGGUAUUAGAUAAAAAAAAGUUACUCCAACAAUUUCUUUGUCUUCAACGCCCUUAAAUUUGCAGGAAUUAGUCACUUCAACAGUCUUCGAUGGUUAUACGGGUAUCCAAAAUACGAACGAGAUGGAUGUUUGUUGUCCCAACCAUUGUUAGUCCCGAUCCUGAUAAGGAAAAGGGAUAAUUUAUAACAAAGUUUUCGUGUGUUGAUUCCUAGGAGUAGUGCUUCUUCCCCUAUGCCCCCUAUUGGUACUAGUGGAGUAGGGUUGACCUAACCCAUAGGUGUAACCUUUCGCUCAAUACUCUAGAAUCGACAAUUGAAGCAUCUGAGGCUGCAUUAAUCGGGGAUACACGACAGAAGGCGUUGUUUUAUUUACAAACUUCACCUUCAACAAGCGUAGAUUUAUUUCCAUAAUUUUUUUCUUCCUAUCCCGAAUAAUGUUGUCUUUCUCUUAAGACUGAGAGCGGUAAAAAUAAAAAAAAUAAUCAAAUCGCACCAUCUCUGUAAUAGGUGAAUGCCUCUUUUUCUCCCGAAGUUGUCGGAAUUAUUCGUAAUAAGAUAUUGGCUACAAUUGAAAAGGUUUUAUCAAUAAAAUUUCCAUUUAUCCCAGAUCUAGACAUAGGUGUAUUAAUCCAUUCUAUAAUUUAUUUUAAUUCCCUUUCGUGAGAAAACGAUCCCACAAACAAAGGAAUUGUGCAGUACGAAAUAACAUAAAAAUGGAUUCAUUAAAAAGGAAGACCUU
rnacentral:lncRNA from 1 species